rnacentral:rRNA from 1 species
GUGUAAGUAUGAACAAAAUUCAGCUGUGAAACUUGCGAAUGGCUCAUAAAUGGUAUUGAUUGAUAGGGUAGGUUUGUGGUUGGUAAUCUACUACUCGAUUAACCGUAGUAGUUCUAGAGCUAAUACGUGCAAACAAAACCCCGACUUUGGCUGGAAGGGGAUGCAUUUAUUAGCAUUAAAAGGUCGACGCGGGCUCUGCCUUUGCUGUUGAUGAUUAUGAUAAACCGACGGAUCGCACGGCCAUCGUGCCACGCGACGCAUCAUUCAAAUUUCUGCCCUAUCAACGCUUCGAUGGUAGGAUGAUGGCUACUGUUAGACCUCUGCCAAUUUGAG